GGCCAGUGAGGAGUGGCUCAGGGUAGGAGUGGAGAUUUGAGGCUUUGGUUCCAGAGGUUUUAGUGAGCAGAGAGGUACAACUCUAUGCACUUGACUAAAGUCCAGAGUGAUUCAGCUCUUUUCAUGUUUGGAGCAAGAUAGUGAUGAAGUCUAGAUUGAAGUGAUCCUAAUCCUGGCAAAAUGCAACUCAAAAUCAGUGUGUAGGCUAUUGAUGUUCUGCUUGGAAUGAAGAAUGAAGUUGAGUUCUAAUGGCAGCUUUCACAACCUCAGGACAUCCCAAGGAUCCUAGCAGUCACUUGCGUACAUAUUGCCCUUUAAUGAAGUAGGGCAAUGUCACCACUAAUUUAGCUGCAGUUAGAUCCCACAAAUAAAAUCAAGAUAACUAGCUAGAAAAACCAAAUUAGUGGUGCUGGUUAAGAAAUAAAUCUUGCCUGGAUACUAGCAACCUCUCCUAUUCUUGUUCUUUUGAAGGUAUUACAUUAGCUAAGAAACAAAUUGUCUUCAGUUUAACAAUCCAGUGGGCAGCACCUACAAUACAGCACUCCCACAGUACAGCACUAAGGUAAUUAG